rnacentral:rRNA from 1 species
GAUGAACGCUGGCGGCGUGCCUAAUACAUGCAAGUCGAGCGAACAGAUGAGGAGCUUGCUCCUCUGACGUUAGCGGCGGACGGGUGAGUAACACGUGGAUAACCUACCUAUAAGACUGGGAUAACUUCGGGAAACCGGAGCUAAUACCGGAUAAUAUAUUGAACCGCAUGGUUCAAUAGUGAAAGACGGUUUUGCUGUCACUUAUAGAUGGAUCCGCGCCGCAUUAGCUAGUUGGUAAGGUAACGGCUUACCAAGGCAACGAUGCGUAGCCGACCUGAGAGGGUGAUCGGCCACACUGGAACUGAGACACGGCCCAGACUCCUACGGAGGCAGCAGUAGGGAAUCUUCCGCAAUGGGCGAAAGCCUGACGGAGCAACGCCGCGUGAGUGAUGAAGGUCUUCGGAUCGUAAAACUCUGUUAUUAGGGAAGAACAAAUGUGUAAGUAACUAUGCACGUCUUGACGGUACCUAAUCAGAAAGCCACGGCUAACUACGUG